UGCAUAUCAAAAGCGGAGGAAAAGAAACCAACAGGGAUUGCCCUAGUUACGGCGAGUGAAGCGGCAACAGCUCAAAUUUGAAAUCUGGCUCUUUCAGAGUCCGAGUUGUAAUUUGCAGAGGGCGCUUUGGCUUUGGCAGCGGUCCAAGUUCCUUGGAACAGGACGUCACAGAGGGUGAGAAUCCCGUACGUGGUCGCUAGCUAUUGCCGUGUAAAGCCCCUUCGACGAGUCGAGUUGUUUGGGAAUGCAGCUCUAAAUGGGAGGUAAAUUUCUUCUAAAGCUAAAUAUUGGCCAGAGACCGAUAGCGCACAAGUAGAGUGAUCGAAAGAUGAAAAGCACUUUGGAAAGAGAGUCAAACAGCACGUGAAAUUGUUGAAAGGGAAGCGCUUGCAGCCAGACUUGCUUGCAGUUGCUCAUCCGGGCUUUUGCCCGGUGCACUCUUCUGUAGGCAGGCCAGCAUCAGUUUGGGCGGUGGGAUAAAGGUCUCUGACACGUUCCUUCCUUCGGGUUGGCCAUAUAGGGGAGACGACAUACCACCAGCCUGGACUGAGGUCCGCGCAUCUGCUAGGAUGCUGGCGUAAUGGCUGUAAGCGGCCCGUCUUGAACACGGACCC
rnacentral:rRNA from 1 species